UAAUUUUAUUUGUUACUUUUUAUUUCUAUUCUAUAAUAUCAGUUUUUUCGAAACAAACCGUAUCACAUGAUGCAGUAAACCAAGUCAUUUUUGGACAGUAAAAAUUAGUUGGUCGAUUUUGAUUAAUAAAUCUAUGAUGUCUUACCUAAAGAUACUCAUCUAUACUUUAUAUUUAACAAUUUUACAAUCACGGUUCGUUGGUUUUAAUGAAAAAGAGAAAUAUCACCAAUAAAACAAGAACAUAUCUUCAAAAUCGUGGGUAAUAAUUUCCGACGUGGUAGUGUCUUGUUUUGCAAAAAAAUUUUCUCCUCCUUUGCUGCAUUUCUGCAGCGAGUGUUCUACCCGAGUGUUUUUUCGACACUAACUUACUAUUUUACUAUCACUGUAACAAUUUUAUCUUCUUAAUUAACCACAUUAGCUCCAUUACUAUCACAAUUACGCAAGGAAACGUUUCCGAAGGAAGUGUAGUGAUAAUAACAGUAGUAAGAUUCAGUUCUGUGUGAUAAAGGAAAUUGUUUACUAUUUCUACGAUCCUGGAAAACGUUUCUGUCGUAGAAAUACAUGGCAAUAAAUACGGGUGAAAAUAAGUUGAAACCACAAGUUAACCACAUUAGCUCCAUUACUAUAACAAUUACGCAAGGAAACGUUUCCGAAGGAUGUGCAAUGAUAAUAACCGUAGUGACAUUCGCUUCUUUGCGAUAAUGGACAAUGUUUACUAUUACUAUGAGUCUAAAAAACAUUUCUGUCGCAGAAACACAUGGCAAUAAAUAUGGAUCAGAAUCAGUUGAAAAGUUCAAAAUAGUGAUUUGUGAUGUAAUACUACUGUUCCAAAAGUACCGAAGGAACAAAUUCAAUUUUCCGAACGAGACAAUGCUCGGUUUGCUUUUUCGUUUCUUUUCAUUAUCUCAUAGCACCUUUCCAUCUCCAUCCUGUCGAUUACUAUAUCGUAUCUCAGGACUUCUAUUAUCUGCUUUCAGAAAUGUGUCAGUUCCGAGCCGGCGAAUGAAGGCAAACAGCUAUCUUCCGAGACCAGGCAAAGUCCUUUGGGUAUACCAAAGAGUCAAGUUUUCCGAGAUGUGCUUGGCUGCGUUUUUUGUGAUGCUGAUGUCCGUUCUGUGAAAGAAUCGAGCCCUUCCAAGCGUAGUGAACGUUCACGAUUUGCAUGUGUGGCAGUUGACUGGACGAAAGAUCGUCUCUACCGUUCAUAUUAUCUUCUUGGACCUUAUGCUUCAGAUUACAGUCUUAAGUGUGUUACGUUUCACACUUUAUGCACGCUAUUUACAUGGCCACAUACACGUGCAUAUGUCAGCGAUAAAAUCUAAAGCAAGUGGAAGCUAGUUUAAGCAAAAUAAUGGAGUAAGUCAGCUAAUUUUACAUGUUCGUGAAGUUAAGCAUAAGAAUUGAAUAAUAUUUGUUUAACAGAAACUUUAAUGCAAAUUAUCAUUAACACAAUUUAUAACAAUUUAUAAUACCGAAAUAUUUAAUUACAUUAAUUUUAUAAUUUGAAAUAUUUUUUCGACAGUUUUCUUUUAUUUCACUCCUGAAAUUUUCAUUACGUUAUUCAUUAAUUGUUAUCAUGUAAAACAUAAAAGACAAUGAAUUAUAAUAAAUCAACACGUCGACAAUGA